UACGUAGGGGGCGAGCGUUGUCCGGAGUUACUGGGCGUAAAGCGCACGCAGGCGGUCUGCUAAGUUUGGAGUGACAGUUGGUGGCUUAACUGCCAAAGUGCUUCGAAAACUGACAGACUUGAGGGCUUCAGAGGGACACGGAAUUCCGGGGUGGAGUGGUGAAAUGCGUAGAGAUCCGGAGGAACACCAAAGGCGAAGGCAGUGUCCUGGGGAGUACCUGGACGCUCAGGUGCGAAAGCCAGGGGAGCGAACGGG
rnacentral:rRNA from 1 species